GACGAACGCUGGCGGCGUGCUUAACACAUGCAAGUCGAGCGAUGAAGUUCCUUCGGGAACGGAUUAGCGGCGGACGGGUGAGUAACACGUGGGUAACCUGUCUCAUAGAGGGGAAUAGCCUUCCGAAAGGAAGAUUAAUACCGCAUAAGAUUGUAGUUUCGCAUGAAACAGCAAUUAAAGGAGUAAUCCGCUAUGAGAUGGACCCGCGUCGCAUUAGCUAGUUGGUGAGGUAACGGCUCACCAAGGCGACGAUGCGUAGCCGACCUGAGAGGGUGAUCGGCCACAUUGGGACUGAGACACGGCCCAGACUCCUACGGGAGGCAGCAGUGGGGAAUAUUGCACAAUGGGGGAAACCCUGAUGCAGCAACGCCGCGUGAGUGAUGACGGCCUUCGGGUUGUAAAGCUCUGUCUUCAGGGACGAUAAUGACGGUACCUGAGGAGGAAGCCACGGCUAACUACGUGCCAGCCGCCGCCGUAAGAC
rnacentral:rRNA from 1 species